GGCUCGGUAGCUUAGUUAGUUGAGCGCUCGUCUAGCAUACAAGAGUCGUGGAUUCGAAUCCCAGCCGAGCAC
rnacentral:tRNA from 1 species